GCUGGGUGUGGCAGUGCAUGCCUGUAGUCCCAGCUACUCAGGAGGCUGAGACAGGAGGAUUGCUUGAGCCCAGGAGUUUGAGCUGCAGUGAGCUAUGACUGUGCUACAGCACUCUAGCCUGGGCAACAGAGCGAGACCUUGUCUCUU
ensembl:misc_RNA Metazoa_SRP Metazoan signal recognition particle RNA